rnacentral:rRNA from 2 species
UCAAAUCGAGUGAGACUACCGCUGAACA